rnacentral:rRNA from 1 species
UACAGAGGGUGCGAGCGUUAAUCGGAAUUACUGGGCGUAAAGCGUGCGUAGACGGUAGCGUAAGUCAGAUGUGAAAGCCCCCGGGCUCAACCUGGGGAACUGCAUUUGAGACUGCUCUGCUCGGGGUGCGGAAGAGGGAAGCGGGAAUUUCCGGUGUAGCGGUGAAAUGCGUAGAGAUCUGGAGGAAUACCGGUGGCGAAGGCGGCCCCCUGGACAAAGACUGACGCUCAGGUGCGAAAGCGUGGGGAGCAAACAGG